AGCUACAGUUUGGUGACUCUUCAGUGAGGAUGACCAACACAGCAUGGUCCCACAACACAUCCUGCUCCCAAUAUUGGGUUCAGUUAGUGGUGCUGAUAUGCACGUGAAUGCAGAACCAUCCAUUAGACCCUUGGCAACCUACCCUCAGCCACAUCCGCAGAGGAAGAGGACUCUGCCUCCAUUAGAAGCCAUCGGUUAUCUCAGCUAAGGACAGGGCCUCGUGGACCCCUCCAUGCUCUAUGCUGGGGUUUCAGUUGAUUUGAUCUUCUUUAUGUAGGGUUAAGGGCUUGAAAGUUGUGAAAAGGUAGAAAAGAAGAACCCGCCAAGUAGCAAAAUCCAACUACAUCAGCAGCAAAGCUCGUAUGAACUCACAGAGGCCUGUGCAGCUAUGGAAUGGUGGACAUCUCCUUUCUUCAUCUUUGAAGGUGUCUUAACAUGGACCAGGCUUGAAGGCAGCAUACACAGAGCGUUCCUGUUCCUCUAACAACUGCUUCUCCAUUAUCCCAGUUCCUCUAUAACAGAGAAGAGAGAAGUUAUUAACUAGACAGUGUGGGGUUUAUGAACAUCCAUAAACUUAUGGAUAUAGUUGAACUUAUGUCCUUCAUUUCCAGGAGUCACCACAUAUCAAUAAGGAAAAACAAAACAAAACCCAAAACUAGACAAAAAAAAAUACUUGCAGAAAUAUAUGCUAAUAAUUUUGACACAGCAAGAUAUUAGUUAUGUCAAACAUCUAUGAAACUGUGAAGAAUGAGUGGACAGAGAAAGGCUAAAUUAAGGGAAUUACAUCCUGUCAUCUCUGGUAAUGUCGUCCAGGGCAGUGCUUGCAAGGAAGGAGUACUGGGAGAGGGGCUCCACAGACUGCCAGAAGAAGUGGUACAAGUCAACAGCUACCAUAUUUUAAUUUGCAAACUUUAAUAAAGUUUUAAAUCUCACUCU